rnacentral:tRNA from 1 species
GGUAAGAUGGCUGAAUUGAGGCGGUGGUUUGUACUUCCAUUGAUGGAGUGAUAGCUCCUCUUAUCA